AUUGAACGCUGGCGGCAGGCUUAACACAUGCAAGUCGAGCGGGGGAAGGUAGCUUGCUACCGGACCUAGCGGCGGACGGGUGAGUAAUGCUCAGGAAUCUGCCUAUUAGUGGGGGACAACAUCUCGAAAGGGAUGCUAAUACCGCAUACGUCCUACGGGAGAAAGCAGGGGAUCUUCGGACCUUGCGCUAAUAGAUGAGCCUAAGUCGGAUUAGCUAGUUGGUAGGGUAAAGGCCUACCAAGGCGACGAUCUGUAGCGGGUCUGAGAGGAUGAUCCGACACACUGGGACUGAGACACGGCCCAGACUCCUACGGGAGGCAGCAGUGGGGAAUAUUGGACAAUGGGGGGAACCCUGAUCCAGCCAUGCCGCGUGUGUGAAGAAGGCCUUAUGGUUGUAAAGCACUUUAAGCGAGGAGGAGGCUACUUUAGUUAAUACCUAGAGAUAGUGGACGUUACUCGCAGAAUAAGCACCGGCUAACUCUGUGCCAGCAGCCGCCGUAA
rnacentral:rRNA from 1 species